rnacentral:lncRNA from 1 species
GUCGUAAGGAGCGCACGCGCCGGAGAGGUCCUACGGGCCAGCGCGAGUGGGCCAGCGUGGACCGCCACAUGGUCCAAGGCGACGGCCGCCCUGGGCGCAGACCCCGCGCGCCUCUUGCUGAGCGCGUGGUCAGACGCACUGCGUGGCGGGCGGCCCAACCUGGAACCCGCCCUGAGAUUGGUGGGGCCGCUGGGUUUGGGGUCUGACUUCGUCCUCGUGGGAACCAUAGCACCCAUCUGCCCCAGCUGUUGUUCGUGCUUGUAAUCCUUGCGUUCGUCCAGCACGUGUUAAAACACCUACAGCACACCGAGCUCUGGUCAUAGAGGGGAGGACACUGGUGCAACCUUUGCGAGACUUAGAUGGUUCCCAAACACGCGAGAGAGUAAGGAGUAAUGUACUCUGCUGAGUGGUUCGAAAGAAACAGUUUUGGUGUAGAUAGGUGGUCUGGGUGGAGAGGGGACGUUGAGAGGGACUGUCGUGCUGUUCCUAGGAAAUGAACACUUUCAAAAGGCGUAAGCAGAAGAGAGAAGGCAGAGACUUAUAGCUGAGCAAGUGAGGUGGGGGGACUUCGGGUUGCUUAUUGAGUGAAGGGCCCCUCUUAGCAAAAGAACGCUGAAGCUAAACUUUGGGGUGUUCCCUACCAGUUUGGGAGGGAUGCUUCUUAAUGUUGCCAGAGGCUGAAGGAAAUGAGAUCUCCAGCUGUUGGUUUUCCUUUCCUGAAACUGUGCCCGGCUAGGAGUGGGAGAUGGCAAAAGACAGAUGUGACAGGAGCUCCCAAGUUUCCCUGAGAAAUGCUUUCUCACCUUGUCCCUGGCACAGGUCCAGCUGAGCUCCUAGGCCUUUUUACGAAGGGGUCUUGAGCCAACCCUGUGUGUCAGCAGAAUCAAGGAUCUACCAGGAAGAAGAAGGACCUCUUAAAGGAGGGCAGGUCCCCUUCUAAGCUGCAUGGUGACCAGUUCAGGCUGCUGUUUUUCUUAUCUUGGAGUUAAGGGACAGCAGCAAUUUCCUGCGGGCUACUGGGGUGGUGUGAGUGGAGAAAGACCACUGGUACCUUCUUGCCUGGGAUUACUCUGAAUGGCUUCCUGCCCUCUGGAGGAGCCUGAUAAGUAUAAACCUUGGAGAGCUGGGUAAGGGAGCAGGGCUCAGCACAGGUGGGCACAUGUGCUUGAAGAGAGCUUGGUGGUUGAAGAGAGUGUCUCUGGGGUGUUGCUGCUGCUGUCAGCGUUUCUGGGGCUGAGGGCAGGAAAUGAGACAUUAAGCCUUUGUAGGGCCCUUGUCUUGUGCCAGAAUUCUAAGAUGACAUGUGCAUGUUGGGAAUUGCAAAAAAUGCAUUUGUGUGAAAUGCUGGUGUCGAGCCCUUCACCUCACUGACUUGGCAGCAUUCAGUGGCCAUAACACUUGGAGCCUUAAUUUUCCCACAGUGUAAGAUAUCACACUCUUGUCCCCAGCUAGGUGUUCUCAUUCCUGUGUGAGGACACACCUGUCUUAUAGUCAGGUGUAUAUGUGGGGAAGAGUCGGGAAAGCAGGAGGCACCUAACAGGCCCCAUGGCUGAGUUGGGCCGAUUGAUGGGUCAGCCCAGGGUACUGUGGACUGGGACAGAAAUAGAAGUGACAGAGAUGGCAUUUGAGGCAAGAAAGCUGUUGGGGCUGGCCAGGCCUGGGGUGGGGUGGCUUAGUUAGCUCCAGUGUGCAGGGAAGCAUCUUAGUAGAAACUUGGUGCUGUGGAGUUUCAGCCUGUGAAAAAAGGUCAGAGGCUUCAUUCCCAUGCAGAGAUCUGCUCUUUCCCAGGUGGCUGCAUGCCUGUCCUGAAUAAAAAAGCCCCUUCCUCUGGCAUCCUUACCACAUUUCAAGUGCUAGCAGCUGCC